rnacentral:precursor_RNA from 13 species
CCGGGAUCCCAGUUGAGUUACAGCACGGUAUGAGUUGGACACGUGGUGCAGUGUGAUAGUGGAAUAAGCUGCAUCACGUGUGACCUCCGUACACCGUGUUGUGUCUCUCCUUCUGUAGAUU